UACGUAGGGAGCAAGCGUUGUCCGGAAUCAUUGGGCGUAAAGCGCGCGUAGGUGGCCUCGUAAGUCCGCUGUGAAAGUCAAAGGCUCAACCUUUGAAAGCCGGUGGAUACUGUGAGGCUAGAGUACGGAAGAGGAGAGUGGAAUUCCUGGUGUAGCGGUGAAAUGCGCAGAUAUCAGGAAGAACACCCGUGGCUAAGGCGGCUCUCUAGUACGGUACUGACGCUGAGACGCGAAAGCGUGGGGAGCGAACAGG
rnacentral:rRNA from 1 species